rnacentral:tRNA from 1 species
GUCUCUGUGGCGCAAUGGAUUAGCGCGCUGGACUUCUAAUCCAGAUGGACAGACAUC